AAAAAGCUCUGGGAGAGGAAGAGAAGGUUGUUCUGGGUGGGCGGCCGUGGGAGGAGUCAGUUCCUUAUGCAAAUCGCAGAGGCGCGCCAGAGCUAAGGGGGCGGGGCUUGCGAUGCAAAGCCGGGUCCCCCCUUAGGAAGCGCGAGGGGGCGGGCCCCGCCACUGUCGGCCUCCUUCCGCGAGUCUCUGACGUCAGCGACGUCGCUUUUAAAUGCGGCCGCGCAGGCGCAGUGAGCCGAAAUGCGAACUUAGGCUGUUACACAACUGCUGGGGUCUGCUCUCGCCGCCCGCCCGGCAGUCCGUCAGCCUCGCCGCCGCUGUCGCCGCCUCAGCGGUUCCGGUAGUCUAGAGCCCGCCCCAUCACCUUUCCCCCGCGCCUCCCGGAGCCUCCGGGUGUCUCCUGUCCGCCCGCACAGGCCGGCCGCGACCGUCUGCGUCUUCUCGGCGCCCCUCGCCGCUCCGGCCGACAUGAGUGGGGACCACCUCCACAACGAUUCCCAGAUCGAGGCGGAUUUCCGACUGAAUGGGGCUCUUCCUGACCCAAGGAUCAAAUCCACUUCUCUUGCGUCUACCUGCAUUGGCAGGCGGAUUCUUUACCUCUGCAUCACCUGGGAAGCCCAUUACUAUUGUUGGCUGCUGCUGCUGCUAAGUCACUUCAGUCGUGUCCGACUCUGUGCGACCCCAUAGACGGCAGCCCACCAGGCUUCCCCGUCCCUGGGAUUCUCCAGGCAAGAACACUGGAGUGGGUUGCCAUUUCCUUCUCCAAUGCAUGAAAGUGAAAAGUGAAAGUGAAGUCGUUCAGCCGUGUCUGACUCUUAGCGACCCCAUGGACUGCAGCCUACCAGGCUUCCCCGUCCCUGGGAUUCUCCAGGCAAGAACACUGGAGUGGGUUGCCAUUUCCUUCUCCAGUGCAUGAAAGUGAAAAGUGAAAGUGAAGUUGCUCAGUCGUGUCCGACUCUGUGCGACCCCAUAGACGGAAGCCUACCAGGCUCCUCCGUCCAUGGGAUUUUCCAGGCAAGAGUACUGGAGUGGGGUGCCUUUGCCUUCUCCACAUAGUAGUGUUAUGUAUGGUGAUUUGAACUCUAGAAAAUGAUUGAGACUAAAGGUUAGAUUUACUUUGCCUUAUUCUUACAGUGUGUUUUUGCAGGAAUAGAUGCAACAGCAGUAGUUCUUGCUAUUUAACAUCAACAUUUUCAGUUUUAGUUAACCAGGAAAGAAAACAAAAAGAGGGAGGAGAAGCCCGGCUGGUCUUUAACUGCUGGCUUGUUACACUUGACUUUAAACUGAAAGCUCUCUAAGGCCACACACCCCAGCUCUGAAAAGAAAAGUCUCCCAGUUAACUCCCUUAGCAUACAGAAGAUGGGGUGGCCUCAUCAGAGAUUCAGCUGGCGAUGGUUUCAGUUCAGUUGCUCAGUCAUGUAAGACUCUUUGCGACCCCAUGGACCACAGCACGCCAGGCUUCCCUCUCCAUCACCAACUCCCGGAGCUUGCUCAAACUCAUGUCCAUCGAGUCGGUGAUGCCAUCCAACCAUCCUAUCCUCUGUUGUCCCCUUCUCCUCCUGCCUUCAGUCUUUCCCAGCAUCAGGGAGUCAGUUCUUUGCAUCAGGUGGCCCAAGUAUUGGAGCUUCAGCAUCAGUCCUUCCAAUGAAUAUUCAGGGCUGAUUUCCUAUUUAGGAUUGACUGGUUUGAUCUCCUUGCAGGUGAUGGUUUGACCAUAAUUAAUUACUCUUUCCACCUAAAAAUCAAACCACCUUUUUCCCUUAAGUACAGUGUGUUAUAAAAAUCGGCACUUCCACAGAACUUUAUAAUCUUUUACAGAUGUUAGCAUCUUCCUAAUCUCAGAAUGUCAGGGAAGUUGUCUAUUAGCAGAAAUGUGCUUGUUUUGUCUAUGGGGAAAGAGAUUCUGGUUGGGUGAACAAGAGGCUAAAAAUUUUCCUUAGAUAGUCUGGAAAAUGUUAAAGAGCUUAUUUAGGACUGGAGCUAACUCCUUGAAUUUAGAUGUCAUGUAGUUUGUAUUGAGCUCAAGUUUUUAGGGGAAUAGUUUAAAGUAUAAUAUGAUGAACUAUGUCUACAAGUGAUUGAAAAAUAUGUCUAUGAGUGUGUGUUUGCAUAAAAAAGACUAGGGGACUAUCAAACAGAAUCCAUGCUGAUUGCACAUGUGUAACUAUGCACGCCUGUAGGUGUUGUACAAAAAGAUAAUUUUGGUCAUGGGUUUCCCUGGUGGUCCAGUGGGUUAAGACUCUGCACUUGUAAUGCACAGGUCUCUGGUCCGAUCCCUGGUUGGGAAUGCAUGCUGCACACUGUCUGACCUAAGACACGAAAUAAAUGGUAAAGUUUAAAAAAGUUUUUGCUCAGUGUGUUUAUUGAAAACUGUAUUUUUUUUCUUAAAAGGCCUUCUGCAGCAACCAUAUUUCCCAGAAAAAAGUUCAGUGUGUGUUCUUCUCCCACAAGUCUGUAAUCACGUUUUGUUCUGUUAAAAUGUUCCUUUUACCCAGGAAUACCUCUUUAGUCUUUAGAUUUGGUGUGUGUGCCCACUCAGUAACUACCCCAUGGACUGUAGCCCACCAGGCUCCUCUGUUCAUGGAAUUUUCCAGGCAGGAAUAUUGGAGUGAGUUGCCAUUUCUUCCUCCAGGGGAUCCAUCUCCUGCAUUGGCAGGUGGAUUCUUUACUACUGUGCCACCUGGGAAACCCAGAAUUUGGUAUUCCAUCUCCAUUUUCCUACCUGUUUUUAGGAAAGCAUUAAGAAUUGUAAACUCCUUGGGGGUUAGAAACAUCCCAGAGCCUGCUUCAGUGUUGAAGGCAUAGCCUUAAUGCUCAGUUUCCUUUCCAGUGAAAUCUGCCUGUAGUCAACUCUUAAACCCAAGCCAGAAGUAACCACUUUUCUCUGGCUUUCACUGAGCCCUUUAUUGUUCUCUUCCAGUUUUUCAUUCUGGAGA